AUAGGGUCUAGACCUGGCAUAUCUUCAUACGACCAUGCAAAAAUAUCCGGAUAUUCCCGGAGGAGCUGGAUGAUCUUCUGUUUAACCCCUUCCUCUAGAGUAGCACCAAUCUUGAUUUCUUGCUUGUUUUCCUCGGUACCUAUAUUGAUAAGCUCAAUCUCUUCCUGG
rnacentral:pre_miRNA from 1 species